UACAGAGGGGGCUAGCGUUGUUCGGAAUUACUGGGCGUAAAGGGCGCGUAGGUGGCCUGUUAAGUCGAACGUGAAAUCCCCGGGCUCAACCCGGGAACUGCGUCCGAGACUGGCAGGCUCGAAUCCGGGAGAGGGAUGUGGAAUUCCAGGUGUAGCGGUGAAAUGCGUAGAUAUCUGGAGGAACACCGGUGGCGAAGGCGGCCAACUGGUCCAUUACUGACGCUGAGGAGCGAAAGCGUGGGGAGCGAACAGG
rnacentral:rRNA from 1 species